GAUGAACGCUGGUGGUAUGCCUAACACAUGCAAGUCGAACGGAACCUUCGGGUUUAGUGGCGGACGGGUGAGUAACGCGCGAGAAUCUGCCUUCAGGAUGGGGACAACAAUUGGAAACGAUUGCUAAUACCCGAUAUGACGAAAGUUGAAAGAUUUAUCGCCUGGAGAUGAGCUCGCGUCAGAUUAGCUAGAUGGUGUGGUAAAGGCGCACCUUGGCGACGAUCUGUAGCUGGUCUGAGAGGAUGAGCAGCCACACUGGGACUGAGACACGGCCCAGACUCCUACGGGAGGCAGCAGUGGGGAAUUUUCCGCAAUGGGCGCAAGCCUGACGGAGCAAUACCGCGUGAGGGAGGAAGGCUCUUGGGUCGUAAACCUCUUUUCUCAGGGAAGAACAAAAUGACGGUACCUGAGGAAUCAGCAUCGGCUAACUCCGUGCCAGCAGCCGCGGUAAUACGGAGGAUGCAAG
rnacentral:rRNA from 1 species